UAUUUAAAAUACCGCCAAAAGGUCCUGGAUAGAAUUAAGCGCCUAUUGGUAGCAGAAUACAUACUCACGUAAAUAUAUUAAAUGAAGUUUCGAUAUAGAGAUAUAGAUGAAUUAAUUGCAGAAAUUGAAAUAAAAGUCUCAAAUAUAAGAAGGAGGUCGAUUUCAGUUUAAGCACAAUUACAGUUGUCAUUUUUCAUAGUUUGCAGAUAUGGACGGUUGCAGCUCGGAUAUUGUUUGUGGAUAAUGUUAGAAAACAUUUCGUUCACGGACAGGUCUUAAUGACCAUUUAAACUGGCUACUCGGCACAGGACCUUGUAAACGUUGUUGCAAAUCGAACUGUCACAGAUCCUGGUCCUGGCUGAAAUUGAGAGUAUUGCAGCUGUAGUUUGUAUACCAUACAUUUCACAUGAAAAGGACUGUCAGGAUGCUGCAUACAAUGGUCUUAGCUAGAGCCUAGAAUGAAUAUUUCUUAGGAAUAUGCUGCAAGUAACUGAAGGGGAGCAGUUUUUCUUACCUAUCAUAGGUGAGACUUCUAAAUAGCUUCUUUUAAAAAGGUUUUUGCUGUUUAAUGUACAUAAUUUGCUGUCAAUAUGAAACUUCAGCUGUAUCUUAAUUUCUAUGCUGUUUUAUUAUGUAAAUCUUAGAGAUAAUCAUUUUAAGAUAAAACAUAUCACUAAGUUGAUUAAUUAUAUAUAUAUUUAAGAUUGACCAAGUCACUUUUAAUAAGUAACUUCUUAUUUUAUUUGCAGUAGCAGUAAGAAACAGCCAACGAAGUAUUCAAACACCAUAUGAAACACUUAAGACAUACCAGGAGAGAUCUAGAAGAAGUACUAGUAGUAGAGUGGAACAGAUUGUAGCUUAAUUCUAGCUAAAAGGACUUCUUAAAUCGUUAAAAUUAAAGCUGCACUUAAACUGUCUUUUUUUGUUAAACAGUUAUACUCCGAACAUAAAUCCAACGUUAUUUCAACGUUAAAAUCUGACCACAAUUCAACGUUGUUCAACGUUUAUGUGCCUGCUGGUUUAAUUCUAUCCAGGACCUAUUGGCGGUAUUUUGAAUAUUAUUCAAAAUUAUUUGAAAGUCUGAGGCUAAAUGCAUCAAUCAUGAUUUGUUAAAUCAAUAUCUAGGCUAAAACCUGCAUAUAUAUUGCUUGCACAUUAAAUAUUGCGUGGGAGUUAUCAACAAUAAAAGUUUGCGUGGCCGUUACCCAAAUCAUUUUUCUCUUGUGUGUUGGAAUAGAAAAUGACCAGUCAACAUUUAACAUGCCUAAUAUUUACAUUUUCCAAUAAAGAACUUCUAUGAACAUUUUCUCUUUGCUAACUCUACGUAGUUUAAUCAAAUUCAUAAAAAAUACAAAGAUUGCGUGAAUGUUACCCGAAAAAUAAUUGUCAACAUUGAAAAUUCCUGUUGAAUUUUUGAGUGUUUGUAAAAGCUAUGAGCACAGGGGUGGAAAAUAAGGUAUAGGCGGCAACAAUUCUUUAUUCCGCGUAGGCUGCAACAGGUCUCGUAUGUAAGUAAAAGGGAUAUAAUAAAGAAUUACCUGAAAAACACAUGUGAAGCGAGGUUUUUAGGCCGCCAUAUUGUCUGUACGCGUAACCGUAAAAGUCACGUGAUUCCCUACCGUGUUUCUGCCGCCAUAUUUCUUGUUUUCGUUGCAAUCGGAACUCCUCCGCGAUUAUUCAUAAUUGUGUUUUACGAAAAAAGCCAGAUUGUGUUCCGUUGUCGCCAAUUAGUUUGACGGAAAGAGCCGAAAACUUUUAUAGUCUGUCAAUCGCAACUACUCGGCCCUUUCCGUCAGUCUUCGGAUAAGGGAUCGCUCCGCCCACUGAUUCACGUGACCCGGUCAGUAAGUAUUCGCAAAACUGUUAUG